CCCUUAGAUGUUCUGGGCCGCACGCGUGCUACACUGAGUAAUUCAAUGGGUAAGGGAACGCUAGAGCAUUACCUAAUCUUGAAAUUUGCUCGUGAUGGGGAUCGACGGUUGCAAUUUUCCGUCGUGAACGAGGAAUACCUUGUAGGCGCAUGUCAUCAUCACGCGCCGAAUACGUCCCUGCCCUUUGUACACACCGCCCGUCGCUCCUACCGAUUGAGUGAUCCGGUGAGGCUCUGGGACCUGGACGGAAAGAGCGUUUCGCUUGUUCUGUUUGGGAAACUUGGUCGAACCUUAUCAUUUAGAGGAAGGGGAAGUCGUAACA
rnacentral:rRNA from 1 species